rnacentral:misc_RNA from 1 species
GAACUCUCUCUCAAAUUUUCGUGGAGGGGUUUAAUUCAUUAGUUUGAUCAUCUAGUCUUCAACGCAAUGAUUGUUUUCACGUCAAAUUAAAAAGAUUGCAAUGAAAAGACCCUUACUUAAAGUUGCCUAGUGCGAGUUGAGUUUGAUCGAUAUUUUGUGCUUAUCUCACAAUGCGAGUUUGGUGCUCAGUUUGAAAUCAGGUAGUUUGACAAAAAUUGAAACGCGAUGACCCUGGAUUUUG